GACAGAGGGUGCGAACGUUGUUCGGAAUUACUGGGCGUAAAGCGCGUGUAGGCGGCAGCGCAAGUCGGGCGUGAAAUCCCACGGCUCAACCGUGGAAGUGCACUCGAAACUGCGCAGCUAGAGUCCUGGAGAGGAAGGUGGAAUGCUUGGUGUAGAGGUGAAAUUCGUAGAUAUCAAGCGGAACACCGGUGGCGAAGGCGGCCUCUGGACAGUGACUGACGCUGAGACGCGAAAGCGUGGGGAGCAAACA
rnacentral:rRNA from 1 species